rnacentral:rRNA from 2 species
UAGGGAAUCUUCCGCAAUGGACGAAAGUCUGACGGAGCAACGCCGCGUGAGUGAUGAAGGCUUUCGGGUCGUAAAACUCUGUUGUUAGGGAAGAACAAGUACGAGAGUAACUGCUCGUACCUUGACGGUACCUAACCAGAAAGCCACGGCUAACUACGUGCCAGCAGCCGCGGUAAUACGUAGGUGGCAAGCGUUAUCCGGAAUUAUUGGGCGUAAAGCGCGCGCAGGCGGUUUCUUAAGUCUGAUGUGAAAGCCCACGGCUCAACCGUGGAGGGUCAUUGGAAACUGGGGAACUUGAGUGCAGAAGAGAAAAGCGGAAUUCCACGUGUAGCGGUGAAAUGCGUAGAGAUGUGGAGGAACACCAGUGGCGAAGGCGGCUUUUUGGUCUGUAACUGACGCUGAGGCGCGAAAGCGUGGGGAGCAAACA